GUCAAGAUGGCAGAGUUGGUCUAAGGCGCUAGUUUCAGGUACUAGUCCGAAAGGGCAUGGGUUCGAAUCCCAUUCUUGACA
rnacentral:tRNA from 1 species